rnacentral:rRNA from 1 species
UACGUAGGUGGCAAGCGUUAUCCGGAAUUAUUGGGCGUAAAGCGCGCGCAGGUGGUUUCUUAAGUCUGAUGUGAAAGCCCACGGCUCAACCGUGGAGGGUCAUUGGAAACUGGGAGACUUGAGUGCAGAAGAGGAAAGUGGAAUUCCAUGUGUAGCGGUGAAAUGCGUAGAGAUGUGGAGGAACACCAGUGGCGAAGGCGGCUCUUUGGUCUGUAACUGACGCUGAGGCGCGAAAGCGUGGGGAUCAAACAGG